UCACGUUCUUCCACGUCCCCAGCAAGGCUACCAAUGGUCUAGUGUUCCCAGUCUUAAUGGAAUAAGACGUCCAAAGUCCUUUUCCUUGACGUCAUAGCUAUAGAACACUGUCAACUACGCGCACAGUCCUUUAAAUGCUGUAAUAUUGCCUUUUGCAGCCUAAUAACGCCUUUACACGUAAAUGCCGUGAUUCCAUCACCCUCCGCGGGAUACCAUUGGUCUAGUCCUUCCAGUCCCAAUGGACUACAACGUGCCAAGUCGUUUUCUUUGGCACUUUGGCGUUAGAAGACCGGCAACUACGCGCACAGUCCUCUAAAUGCUGUAACAUGGCCUUUUACAGACUAAUAAAGGUCUUACACUCAAAUCACGUUCUUCCACGUCUCCAGCAAGGCUACCAAUGGUCUAGUGUUCCCAGUCUUAAUGGAAUAAGACGUCAAAAGUCCUUUUCCUGGACGCCAUGGCUAUAGAACACUGUCAACUACGCGCACAGUCCUUUAAAUGCUGUAAUAUUGACUUUUGUAGCCAAAUAAAGGCCUUACACGUAAAUCACGUUCUUCCACGUCCCCAGCAAGGCUACCAAUGGUCUAGUGUUCCCAGUCUUAAUGGAAUAAGACGUCCAAAGUCCUUUUCCUUGACGCCAUGGCUAUAGAACACUGUCAACUACGUGCACAGCCCUCUAAAGGCUGUAAUAUGGCCAUUUGCAGCCUAUUAAAGGCCUUAUACGUAAAUACUGUCGCUCCACCUGCCUGCGCAAGUUACCAUUGGUGUAGUCCUUCCAGUCUCAAUGGAAUAUGACGUCCCAAGUCGUUUUCUUUGUCGCCAUGGCUAUAGAAAACUGUUAACUACGUGCACAGCCCUCUAAAGGCAGUAAUAUGGCCAUUUGCAGCCUAAUAAAGACCUUACACGUAAAUCACGUUCUUCCACGUCCCCAGCAAGGCUACCAAUGGUCUAGUGUUCCCAGUCUUAAUGGAAUAAGACGUCCAAAGUCCUUUUCCUUGACGCCAUGGCUAUAGAACACUGUCAACUACGUGCACAGCCCUCUAAAGGCUGUAAUAUGGCCAUUUGCAGCCUAUUAAAGGCCUUAUACGUAAAUACUGUCGCUCCACCUGCCUGCGCAAGUUACCAUUGGUGUAGUCCUUCCAGUCUCAAUGGAAUAUGACGUCCCAAGUCGUUUUCUUUGUCGCCGUGACGUUUAAAAACCCGCAAGUACGCGCACAGUCCUCUAAAAGUAUGGCCUUUUACAGACUAAUAAAGGUCUUACACGCAAAUCACGUUCUUCCACGCCCCAAGCAAGGUUACCAAUGGUCUAGUAAUCCCAGUCUUAAUGGAAUAUGACGUCUCAAGUCCUUUUCCUUGGCGCUUUAGCGUUAAAACACUUUUUACUCCGUGCACAGCCCUCUAAAUGCUGUAACAUGGCCUUUUGCAGACUAAUAAAGGCUUUAAACGUAAAUACUGUCGUUCCUACUGCCUGCGCAGGUUACCAUAGGAGUAGUCCUUCCAGUCUCAAUGGACUAUGACGUCCCAAGUCCUUUUCCUUGGCGCCAUGGCUUUAGAACACUUUUAACUCCGUGCACAGCCCUCUAAAGGCUGUAAUAUGGCCAUUUGCAGCCUAAUAAAGGUGUUAUACGUAAAUAGCGUCGUUCCACCUGCCUGCGCAGGUUACCAUAGGAGUAGUCCUUCCAGUCUCAAUGGACUAUGACGUCCCAAGUCCUUUUCCUUGGCGCCAUGGCUUUAGAGCAAGGUUAACUCCGUGCACAGCCCUCUAAAUGCUGUAACAUGGUCUUUUGCAGACUAAUAAAGGCUUUAAACGUAAAUACUGUCGUUCCAACUGCCUGCGCAGGUUACCAUAGGAGUAGUCCUUCCAGUCCCAAUGGACUAUGACGUCCCAAGUCCUUUUCCUUGGCGCCAUGGCUAUAGAACACUGUUAACUACGUGCACAGCCCUCUAAAGGCAGUAAUAUGGCCAUUUGGAGCCUAAUAAAGGCCUUACACGUAAAUCACGUUCUUCCACGUCCCCAGCAAAGCUACCAAUGGUCUAGUGUUCCCAGUCCUAAUGGAAUAAGACGUCCGAAGUCCUUUUCCUUGACGCCAUGGCUAUAGAACACUGUCAACUACGCGCACAGUCCUUUAAGUGCUGUAAUAUUGCCUUUUGUGGCCAAAUAAAGGCUUUACACGGAAAUAACGUGGUUCCACCACCCUUCGCGGGAUACCAUUAGUCUAGUCCUUCCAGUCCCAAUGGACUAUGACGUGCCAAGUCAUUUUCCUUGGCGCCAUGGCUUUAGCUCACUGUUAAUUUCAUGCACGGCCCUCUAAAGGCUGUAAUAAGGCCAUUUGCAGCCUAUUAAAGGCCUUACACGUAAAUCACGUUCUUCCACGUCCCCAGCAAGGCUACCAAUGGUCUAGUGUUCGCAGUCUUAAUGGAAUAUGACGUCCCAAGUCCUUUUCCUUGACGCCAUGGCUAUAGAACACUGUUGACUACGUGCACAACCCUCUAAAGUCAGUAAUGUGUCCUUUUGCAGCCUAAUAACGCCUUUACACGUAAAUGCCGUGAUUCCAUCACCCUCCGCGGGAUACCAUUGGUCUAGUCCUUCCAGUCCCAAUGGACUACAACGUGCCAAGUCGUUUUCUUUGGCACCUUGGCGUUAGAAGACCGGCAACUAUGCGCACAGUCCUCUAAAUGCUGUAACAUGGCCUUUUACAGACUAAUAAAGGUCUUACACGCAAAUCACGUUCUUCCACGUCUCCAGCAAGGCUACCAAUGGUCUAGCCUAAUAAAGGUGUUAUACGUAAAUAGCGUCGUUCCACCUGCCUGCGCAAGUUACCAUAGGAGUAGUCCUUCCAGUCUCAAUGGACUAUGACGUCCCAAGUCCUUUUCCUUGGCGCCAUGGCUUUAGAGCAAGGUUAACUCCGUGCACAGCCCUCUAAAUGCUGUAACAUGGCCUUUUGCAGACUAAUAAAGGCUUUAAACGUAAAUACUGUUGUUCCAACUGCCUGCGCAGGUUACCAUAGGAGUAGUCCUUCCAGUCUCAAUGGACUAUGACGUCCCAAGUCCUUUUCCUUGGCGCCAUGGCUUUAGAACACUUUUAACUCCGUGCACAGCCCUCUAAAGGCUGUAAUAUGGCCAUUUGCAGCCUAAUAAAGGUGUUAUACGUAAAUAGCGUCGUUCCACCUGCCUGCGCAGGUUACCAUAGGAGUAGUUCUUCCAGUCUCAAUGGACUAUGACGUCCCAAGUCCUUUUCCUUGGCGCCAUGGCAAUAGAACACUGUUAACUACGUGCACAGCCCUCUAAAGGCAGUAAUAUGGCGAUUUGGAGCCUAAUAAAGGCCUUACACGUAAAUCACGUUCUACCACGUCCUCAGCAAGGCUACCAAUGGUCUAGUGUUCCCAGUCUUAAUGGAAUAAGACGUCCAAAGUCCUUUUCCUUGACGCCAUGGCUAUAGAACACUGUCAACUACGCGCACAGUCCUUUAAAUGCUGUAAUAUUGCCUUUUGUAGCCAAAUAAAGGCUUUACACGGAAAUAACGUGGUUCCACCACCCUUCGCGGGAUACCAUUAGUCUAGUCCUUCCAGUCUCAAUAGACUAUGACGUCCCAAGUCCUUUUCCUUGGCGCCAUGGCUUUAGAACAUUUUUAACUCCGUGCACAGCCCUCUAAAGGCUGUAAUAUGGCCAUUUGCAGUUAAAUAAAGGCUUUAAACGUAAACACUGUCGUUCCAACUGCCUGCGCAGGUUACCAUAGGAGUAGUCCUUCCAGUCUCAAUGGACUAUGACGUCCCAAGUCCUUUUCCUUGGAGCCAUGGCUAUAGAACACUGUUAACUACGUGCACAGCCCUCUAAAGGCUGUAAUAUGGCCUUUUGCAGACUAAAAAAAGGCCUUACACGUAAACCACGUGCUUCCACGCUCCCAACCAGGCUACCAUUGGUCUAGUGUUUUCAGUCUCAAUGUAAUAUGACGUACCAAGUCAUUUUCCUUGGCGCCAUGGCUUUAGAAUACUUUUAACUCCGUGCACAGCCCUCUAAAGGCUGUAAUAUGGCCAUUUGCAGUUAAAUAAAGGCUUUAAACGUAAACACUGUCGUUCCAACUGCCUCCGCGGGAUACCAUUGGUCUAGUCCUUCCAGUCCCAAUGGACUACAACGUGCCAAGUCGUUUUCUUUGGCACCUUGGCGUUAGAAGACCGGCAACUACGCGCACAGUCCUCUAAAUGCUGUAACAUGGCCUUUUACAGACUAAUAAAGGUCUUACACGCAAAUCACGUUCUUCCACGUCUCCAGCAAGGCUACCAAUGGUCUAGCCUAAUAAAGGUGUUAUACGUAAAUAGCGUCGUUCCACCUGCCUGCGCAAGUUACCAUAGGAGUAGUCCUUCCAGUCUCAAUGGACUAUGACGUCCCAAGUCCUUUUCCUUGGCGCCAUGGCUUUAGAGCAAGGUUAACUCCGUGCACAGCCCUCUAAAUGCUGUAACAUGGCCUUUUGCAGACUAAUAAAGGCUUUAAACGUAAAUACUGUUGUUCCAACUGCCUGCGCAGGUUACCAUAGGAGUAGUCCUUCCAGUCUCAAUGGACUAUGACGUCCCAAGUCCUUUUCCUUGGCGCCAUGGCUUUAGAACACUUUUAACUCCGUGCACAGCCCUCUAAAGGCUGUAAUAUGGCCAUUUGCAGCCUAAUAAAGGUGUUAUACGUAAAUAGCGUCGUUCCACCUGCCUGCGCAGGUUACCAUAGGAGUAGUCCUUCCCGUCUCAAUGGACUAUGACGUCCCAAGUCCUUUUCCUUGGCGCCAUGGCUUUAGAGCAAGGUUAACUCCGUGCACAGCCCUCUAAAUGCUGUAACAUGGUCUUUUGCAGACUAAUAAAGGCUUUAAACGUAAAUACUGUCGUUCCAACUGCCUGCGCAGGUCACCAUAGGAGUAGUUCUUCCAGUCCCAAUGGACUAUGACGUCCCAAGUCCUUUUCCUUGGCGCCAUGGCUAUAGAACACUGUUAACUACGUGCACGGCCCUUUGAACGCUGUAAUAUGGCCAUUUGCAGCCUAUUAAAAGCCUUAUACGUAAAUACUGUUGCUCCACCUUCCUGCGCAAGUUACCAUUGGUGUAGUCCUUCCAGUCUCAAUGGACAAUGACGUCCCAAGUCGUUUUAUUUGACGCCGUGACGUUUGAAAACGCCUAAGUACGCGCACAGUCCUCUAAAUGCUAUAGUAUGGCCUUUGUAAGUCUAAAAAAGGCCUUACGCGUAAAUCACGUGCUUCCACUCUCUAAACCAGGCUACCAAUGGUGUACCUUUUGCGAUUAUCAUUGAACUACGACGUCACAAUUCCUUUUCCUUGAUGCCAUGGCUAUAGAACACUGUCAACUACGCGCACAGUCCUUUAAAUGCUGUAAUAUUGCCUUUUGUAGCCAAAUAAAGGCUUUACACGUAAAUAACGUGGUUCCAUCACCCUUCGCGGGAUACCAUUAGUCUAGUCCUUCCAGUCUCAAUAGACUAUGACGUCUCAAGUCCUUUUCCUUGGCGCUUUAGCGUUAAAACACUUUUUACUACGUGCACAGACCUCUAAAUGCUGUAAUAUUGCCUUUUGCAGCCAUAUAAAGGCUUAACACGUAAAUAACGUGGUUCCACCACCCUUCGCGGGAUACCAUUAGUCUAUUCCUUCCAGUCUUAAUAGACUAUGACGUUCCAAGUCCUUUUCCUUGGCGCCAUGGCCUUAGAACACUUUUAACUUCGUGCACAGCCCUCUAAAGGCUGUAAUAUGGCCAUUUGCAGCCUAAUAAAAGUGUUAUACGUAAAUAGCGUCGUUCCACCUGCCUGCGCAGGUUACCAUAGGAGUAGUCCUUCCAGUCUCAAUGGACUAUGACGUCCCAAGUCCUUUUCCUUGGCGCCAUGGCUUUAGAACAAGGUUAACUCCGUGCACAGCCCUCUAAAUGCUGUAACAUGGCCUUUUGCAGACUAAUAAAGGCUUUAAACGUAAAUACUGUCGUUCCAACUGCCUGCGCAGGUUACCAUAGGAGUAGUCCUUCCAGUCUCAAUGGACUAUGACGUCCCAAGUCCUUUUCCUUGGCGCCAUGGCAAUAGAACACUGUUAACUACGUGCACAGCCCUCUAAAGGCAGUAAUAUGGCGAUUUGGAGCCUAAUAAAGGCCUUACACGUAAAUCACGUUCUACCACGUCCUCAGCAAGGCUACCAAUGGUCUAGUGUUCCCAGUCUUAAUGGAAUAAGACGUCCAAAGUCCUUUUCCUUGACGCCAUGGCUAUAGAACACUGUCAACUACGCGCACAGUCCUUUAAAUGCUGUAAUAUUGCCUUUUGUAGCCAAAUAAAGGCUUUACACGGAAAUAACGUGGUUCCACCACCCUUCGCGGGAUACCAUUAGUCUAGUCCUUCCAGUCUCAAUAGACUAUGACGUCCCAAGUCCUUUUCCUUGGCGCCAUGGCUUUAGAACAUUUUUAACUCCGUGCACAGCCCUCUAAAGGCUGUAAUAUGGCCAUUUGCAGUUAAAUAAAGGCUUUAAACGUAAACACUGUCGUUCCAACUGCCUGCGCAGGUUACCAUAGGAGUAGUCCUUCCAGUCUCAAUGGACUAUGACGUCCCAAGUCCUUUUCCUUGGAGCCAUGGCUAUAGAACACUGUUAACUACGUGCACAGCCCUCUAAAGGCUGUAAUAUGGCCUUUUGCAGACUAAAAAAAGGCCUUACACGUAAACCACGUGCUUCCACGCUCCCAACCAGGCUACCAUUGGUCUAGUGUUUUCAGUCUCAAUGUAAUAUGACGUACCAAGUCAUUUUCCUUGGCGCCAUGGCUUUAGAAUACUUUUAACUCCGUGCACAGCCCUCUAAAGGCUGUAAUAUGGCCAUUUGCAGUUAAAUAAAGGCUUUAAACGUAAACACUGUCGUUCCAACUGCCUCCGCGGGAUACCAUUGGUCUAGUCCUUCCAGUCCCAAUGGACUACAACGUCCCAAGUCGUUUUCUUUGGCACCUUGGCGUUAGAAGACCGCCAACUACGCGCACAGUCCUCUAAAUGCUCUAACAUGGCCUUUUACAGACUAAUAAAGGUCUUACACGCAAAUCACGUUCUUCCACGUCCCCAGCAAGGCUACCAAUGGUCUAGUGUUCGCAGUCUUAAUGGAAUAUGACGUCCCAAGUCCUUUUCCUUGACGCCAUGGCUAUAGAACACUGUUGACUACGUGCACAACCCUCUAAAGUCAGUAAUAUGUCCUUUUGCAGCCUAAUAACGCCUUUACACGUAAAUGCCGUGAUUCCAUCACCCUCCGCGGGAUACCAUUGGUCUAGUCCUUCCAGUCCCAAUGGACUACAACGUGCCAAGUCGUUUUCUUUGGCACCUUGGCGUUAGAAGACCGGCAACUACGCGCACAGUCCUCUAAAUGCUGUAACAUGGCCUUUUACAGACUAAUAAAGGUCUUACACGCAAAUCACGUUCUUCCACGUCUCCAGCAAGGCUACCAAUGGUCUAGCCUAAUAAAGGUGUUAUACGUAAAUAGCGUCGUUCCACCUGCCUGCGCAAGUUACCAUAGGAGUAGUCCUUCCAGUCUCAAUGGACUAUGACGUCCCAAGUUCUUUUCCUUGGCGCCAUGGCUUUAGAGCAAGGUUAACUCCGUGCACAGCCCUCUAAAUGCUGUAACAUGGCCUUUUGCAGACUAAUAAAGGCUUUAAACGUAAAUACUGUUGUUCCAACUGCCUGCGCAGGUUACCAUAGGAGUAGUCCUUCCAGUCUCAAUGGACUAUGACGUCCCAAGUCCUUUUCCUUGGCGCCAUGGCUUUAGAACACUUUUAACUCCGUGCACAGCCCUCUAAAGGCUGUAAUAUGGCCAUUUGCAGCC